rnacentral:lncRNA from 1 species
UCCAACUCGACACAAAAAGAUCCCAAACAAUACUGCUUUUAUACAUUAUUAAUGUGUUAGCAAUUACAUGCACUCAAUAAAGACCUUAUGUAAUUACCAACAAAUCAACAUGUUAAGAUAAGCAUUUCAUUAUAGGGCAAUUGCUUAUAUAUCUCUAAAAAAUUUCCGACUUUCUGAUUUACCCCUCUUAGAAGGCUAAUAUUAAAAAUACCUUUUUUACAUUCUAACCUAUUUCAAAUAUAUUCUUAAAGUUAAAAUUUGUUAAUGAACUAUGUUAUCUUUAUAAAAUUACUGUUUUGCCUUUUCAAAUAUACCCUUCUAUCAUCACUGACUUUUCUUAUUUGCUCUUAUGUUAGGGGCACAAAAAAUAUUUUGCUUUUUGGUAUUUUCAAAUGUACCAUUUUACCAUCACCAAUAUUUCUUAUUUGCCCUUAAGUUAAGGGCAAAAGUGAUAUUUUAUUUUUUUAAACUGUGGUAUAUAUUUAACUCACGUUUAAUUCAAAUUAACUUAACGGGUGGUAAAACGGAAAAACAUAUGAGGAGUAUAUUAGAAGGAAAAAAAAAAAAAGUGAAUGAGAUAAUUUUAAAGUUUUGAAGGGUAUAUAG